rnacentral:snRNA from 1 species
GUCUUUACUAAUUGAGCUACAAU